rnacentral:rRNA from 1 species
AUAAGCCAUGCAUGUCUAAGUAUAAGCACUCAUACUGUGAAACUGCGAAUGGCUCAUUAAAUCAGUUAUCGUUUAUUUGAUAGUACCUUUACCUGGAUAACCGUGGUAAUUCUAGAGCUAAUACAUGCUAAAAAUCCCGACUUCGGAAGGGAUGUAUUUAUUAGAUAAAAAACCAAUGCCCUUCGGGGCUCCUUGGUGAUUCAUAAUAACUCAACGAAUCGCAUGGCCUUGCGCUGGCGAUGGUUCAUUCAAAUUUCUGCCCUAUCAACUUUCGAUGGUAGGAUAGUGGCCUACCAUGGUCUCAACGGGUAACGGGGAAUUAGGGUUCUAUUCCGGAGAGGGAGCCUGAGAAACGGCUACCACAUCCAAGGAAGGCAGCAGGCGCGCAAAUUACCCAAUCCCAAUUCGGGGAGGUAGUGACAAUAAAUACUGAUACAGGGCUCUUUUGGGUCUUGUAAUUGGAAUGAGUACAAUCUAAAUCCCUUAACGAGGAACAAUUGGAGGGCAAGUCUGGUGCCAGCAGCCGCGGUAAUUCCAGCUCCAAUAGCGUAUAUUAAAGUUGUUGCCGUUAAAAAGCUCGUAGUUGAACCUUGGGUCUGGCUGAUCUGUCCUCCUAAUCGAGCGCACGGAUUCGGUCGGACCUUUCCUUCUGGGGAACUGCAUGCCCUUCGCUGGGCGUGUCGGGGAACCAGGACUUUUACCUUGAAAAAAUUAGAGUGUUCAAAGCAGGCCUUUGCUCGAAUACAUUAGCAUGGAAUAAUAGAAUAGGACAGAGGUUCUAUUUUGUUGGUUUCUAGGACCGCUGUAAUGAUUAAUAGGGAUAGUCGGGGGCGUCCGUAUUCAAUUGUCAGAGGUGAAAUUCUUGGAUUUAUUGAAGACGAACUACUGCGAAAGCAUUCGCCAAGGAUGUUUUCAUUAAUCAGUGAACGAAAGUUAGGGGAUCGAAGACGAUCAGAUACCGUCGUAGUCUUAACCAUAAACUAUGCCGACUAGGGAUCGGACGGUG